CGCCCUUAGAGUUUGAUCAUGGCUCAGGACGAACGCUGGCGGCGUGCCUAAUACAUGCAAGUAGAACGGAGGAGCUUGCUCUUCGAGUUGCGAACGGGUGAGUAACGCGUAGGUAACCUGCCUUGUAGCGGGGGAUAACUAUUGGAAACGAUAGCUAAUACCGCAUAACAAUGGGACACAUGUCUUUAUUUGAAAGGGGAUUGCUCCACUACAAGAUGGACCUGCGUUGUAUUAGCUAGUAGGUGAGGUAAUGGCUCACCUAGGCGACGAUACAUAGCCGACCUGAGAGGGUGAUCGGCCACACUGGGACUGAGACACGGCCCAGACUCCUACGGGAGGCAGCAGUAGGGAAUCUUCGGCAAUGGGGGCAACCCUGACCGAGCAACGCCGCGUGAGUGAAGAAGGUUUUCGGAUCGUAAAGCUCUGCUGUAAGUCAAGAACGGGUGUGAGGAAAUUCACACUGUGACGGUAGCU
rnacentral:rRNA from 1 species